UUAACGACCUGUCUGGCCUAGUGGGUAGUGACCCUGCCUAUGAAACCGAUGGUGCUGGGUUCGAAUCCUGGCAAGGGCAUUUAUUUGUGUGAUGAACACAGAUAUUUGUUCCCGAGUCAUGGGUGUUUUCUAUGUAUUUAAGUAUUUAUAAAUAUGUAUAUAUUAUAUAUAUCGUUGUCUAAGUACCCACAACACAAGCCUUAUUGAGCUUACUGUGGGACUUGGUCAAUUUGUGUAAUAAAGUCUUAUAAUAUU